rnacentral:rRNA from 1 species
AUUGAGCGCUGGCGGCAUGCCUUACACAUGCAAGUCGAACGGCAGCACGGGAGCAAUCCUGGUGGCGAGUGGCGAACGGGUGAGUAAAGUAUCGGAACGUGCCCAGUCGUGGGGGAUAACGUAACGAAAGUUACGCUAAUACCGCAUACGAUCUAUGGAUGAAAGCGGGGGAUCGCAAGACCUCGCGCGAUUGGAGCGGCCGAUAUCAGAUUAGGUAGUUGGUGGGGUAAAGGCUCACCAAGCCGACGAUCUGUAGCUGGUCUGAGAGGACGACCAGCCACACUGGGACUGAGACACGGCCCAGACUCCUACGGGAGGCAGCAGUGGGGAAUUUUGGACAAUGGGCGAAAGCCUGAUCCAGCCAUGCCGCGUGCAGGAUGAAGGCCUUCGGGUUGUAAACUGCUUUUGUACGGAACGAAAAGGUUUGGCCUAAUAAGCUGAGCUCAUGACGGUACCGUAAGAAUAAGCACCGGCUAACUACGUGCCAGCAGCCGCCGUAAUAC